AUGCAGCUUUAUUAACUCAGUGAUAUUUAUCUUUCUUUCUUUCUUUUUUACAUUAUUUGAAAACUGAUAUGUGACACAUAUUAAUGCCAAAAUAACAUGCAAUACAGGAAAGCUAAAAAUGUGGGUCUCAAAACUGCCCCACCUGCCCUGAAUGACGGAUCCCCACUGGCUACAACGUAAAACAUAACUAGGUCUAUUGAGUGGUCUUCCUGAGAAAGCGUGGGAUUGCACAGUAGUAUAUAUUUUACUCUUGUAAAUCUCUCUUCUUGUUACAACGCUAUGUUUAUUUAUACAUCAGAUGAAUGUGUUAUAAGUGUGCUUCUUCUAAUACCAGAACCAAAGGAUCUGGAUUACAGUUGAGAUUACAUUAAAAGUACAUGGUGCAAGUGAUCAGUGCUGUUCGAGAUUCUGACAGAUUAUUAUUAAGUAUUGUGAAGAUUUCCACAGACCUGCGACCACCUAUGCAGUUAAAGUUGGAAGUUUACAUACACCUUAGCCAAAUACAUUUAUACUCAGUUUUUCACAAUUCCUGACAUUUAAUCCUCGUAAAAAUUCCCUUGUUUUACUGUGGAUAUAAAUACUUUUGUACCUGUUUCCUUCAGCAUCUUCACAAGUUCCUUUGCAGUUGUUCUAGGACUCACUUUUCACACCAAAGUACAUUCAUCUCUAGGGGACAGAACGCAUUUCCUUCCUGAGCGGUAUGACGGCUGCAUGGUCCCAUGGUGUUUAUACUUGCGUACUAUUGUUUGUACAGAUGAACGUGGUACCUUCAGGCGUUUGGAAAUUGCUCCCAAGGAUGAACCAGAUUUCUUUUGAUUUUCCCAUGAUGUCAAGCAAAGAGGCACUGAGUUUGAAGGUAGGCCUUGAAAUACAUCCACAGGUACACCUCCAAUUGACUCAAAUGAUGUCAAUUAGCCUAUCAGAAGAUUCUAAAGCCAUAACAUAAUUUUCAGAAAUUUUCCAAGCUGUUUAAAGGCACAGUCAAUUUAGUGUAUGUAAACUUCUGACCCACUGGAAUUGUAAUACAGCGAAUGAUAAGUCAAAUAAUCUGUCUGUAAACAAUUGUUGGAAAAAUUACUUGUGCCAUGCACCAAGUAGAUGUCCUAACCGACUUGCCAAAACUAUAGUUUGUUACCAAGAAAUUUUAUGAGUGGUUGAAAAACAACUUUUAAUUACUCUGUAUGCUAUCUUGAACAUGCCCGCUUUAUAUGAUUACAUAAGAAGACAUUUAUGUUAUCAAAUCAAACUAUAAAUGCACUUUAAAUAAAGUUUGAUUUGAAACAGUCCUAUUCUUUAACUUAGGUUUUUGGUUGAGAUUGAGACGUGAAUCCAAUGGGAGGUGCACUGAACAACAUAGAGCUUUGACUCCGUGGAACUCUAUUCCAUAUCAGGUAACUGAAUCAAGCAGUAAAAUCAGAUAAAAAAAAUAUACACCUUAUGGAGCAGUGGCGACUUUGAAGAGAUACACACACACACGCACGCACACACACACACUCUACACACACAUUGUAAUAUUGUUGUAUGGUGGUAUUAUACAUUUUGUUUUAUGUGUGAUGGAAGUGCCUUAAUGUGUUUUGACCCCAGGAAGAGUAGCUGCUGCCUUGGCAGGAACUAAUGGGAAUCCAUAAUAAACCCCAUGAAGAGUAGCUGCUGCCUUGGCAUGAACUAAUGGGUAUCCAUAAUAAACCCCAGGAAGAGUAGCUGCUGCCUUGGCAUGAACUAAUGGGAAUCCAUAAUAAACCCCAGGAAGAGUAGCUGCUGCCUUGGCAUGAACUAAUGGGAAUCCAUAAUAAACCCCUUGAAGAGUAGCUGCUGCCUUGGCAUGAACUAAUGGGUAUCCAUAAUAAACCCCAGGAAGACUAGCUGCUGCCUUGGCAUGAACUAAUGGGGAUCCAUAAUAAACCCCAGGAAGAGUAGCUGCUGCCUU
ensembl:lncRNA